UACAGAGGUGCCAAGCGUUAGGCGGAAUCACUGGGCUUAAAGCGUGUGUAGGCGGAUUGGUAAGUACCUUGUGAAAUCCCACGGCUCAACCGUGGAACUGCUUGGUAUACUGCUUAUCUUGGGCCACUUAGGGGCUACCGGAACAAACGGUGGAGCGGUGAAAUGCGUAGAUAUCGUUUGGAACGCCAAUGGUGAAAACAGGUAGCUGGGAGUGUGCCGACGCUGAGACACGAAAGCCAGGGGAGCGAACGGG
rnacentral:rRNA from 1 species